rnacentral:ncRNA from 1 species
AGUUUUAUUCUUGCUUAUUUAUUUAUUAGGAUGGGAAAUUAUAUGCGGAUAUUUAAGAAUAUUAAUUCUAAAUGAAUAUUUAUUAAUUUUUGCAGUAAUUAAUAUUAUUAAUUGAUGAAAUUUUGAUUUAGUUACUUUUAUUUAAUGUUGAUUAAAUAUGUGCCAGCAAUCGCGGUUAUACGUAGGACAUUAAUAAAUAUUUUUAGUUUGUAGUUAUUAUUUAAUAGUGAAUAAUUUAUUAUAAAUUUUUUAAGGUGAAAUUUAAUUAUUUAUUUAAAUUAUAUGUAUAUAUUUAUAAUAAGAGGCUUUGAGAUCUAAAUACUAAACUAGGAUUAGAUACCCUAUUAUUUUAGAUUUAAAAUUUAUUAAAUUUGAGUAGUAGUAGUUAUGUUCUUGAAACUUAAAGAAUUUGGCGGUAUUUUAGUCUAUUUAGAGGAAUCUGUCCCGUUAUCGAUAUCCCACGUUGGACCUUACUUAAUUAAUUUAUAUGUAUACCGCCGUAUAAUGAAGAUCUUUAUAGGGUAAAUUUUCUUAAUAUUUUAAUAUAUAAAAUUUCAGGUCAAGGUGCAGUUAAUAAUUAAGUGGUGAUGGAUUACAAUAUAAAUAUAUAUAUAUAUAUAUGGAUUAAAUGUUGAAAUAUUGUUUAUGAAGGUGGAUUUAAUAGUAAUUUUAAUAAGAAUAUUAAAAUAAUUAUGGCUCUAGAAUGUGUACACAUCGCCCGUCACUCUCGUUAGAUUAGAUGAGAUAAGUCGUAACAAAGUAGCUGUACCGGAAGGUGCAGCUGGAAUGAU